GACGAACGCUGGCGGCGUGCUUAACACAUGCAAGUCGAACGGAAAGGCCCUGCUUGCAGGGUACUCGAGUGGCGAACGGGUGAGUAACACGUGGGUGAUCUGCCCUGCACUUCGGGAUAAGCCUGGGAAACUGGGUCUAAUACCGGAUAGGAGCCAUUUUUAGUGUGAUGGUUGGAAAGUUUUUUCGGUGUAGGAUGAGCUCGCGGCCUAUCAGCUUGCUGGUGGGGUAAUGGCCUACCAAGGCGGCGACGGGUAGCCGGCCUGAGAGGGUGGACGGCCACAUUGGGACUGGGAUACGGCCCAGACUCCUACGGGAGGCAGCAGUGGGGAAUAUUGCACAAUGGGCGCAAGCCUGAUGCAGCGACGCCGCGUGGGGGAUGACGGCCUUCGGGUUGUAAACUCCUUUCGCUAGGGACGAAGCUUUUUGUGACGGUACCUAGAUAAGAAGCACCGGCUAACUACGUG
rnacentral:rRNA from 1 species